UCCUAUGCAUCUCAUCGAUUUGCUGAGCA
rnacentral:piRNA from 1 species